GAAAUACAUAUACUGAGCAACUAUUUCUGUAGGUUAUAUAGAGAGAUAUUGGUUUUUAGCUGUAGCAGUAAUAAGUUUUUAAGCAAAAUAAAUAUGAACAUUUUUUUAUUCUUAGUUUUUUGCUUCAAUGAAUUUUAUUCUUUUUAGUCAUACUGAGGAAAGUAACUGGAAACUUGUUUCACACACAUCUGAUUUGUGUCAAGCUGGUUGUAGAUGGAUACUCAGCCUACCCUCAGAAUAUACCCUUCUAUGCUUGUAGAUAUCACAACAAGGUGGGAAAAGGCUAUCAGACCAGCCCAAAACCACCUCUUCCUGAGCCCUGGAGAAAGAUAUUGGUGGUGUUAAAAAUCACCAUUAUACUAGACAGUGUUGUGGUUAUCCUAACGAUAAUAUAUACCAAGGGAAAGCAGGUAAGCUCCAAAUCACUGGAGAAAAUAUAUUAUUUGAAGGAAAAGGGAGCAUUACAGAGGAAAUCUAAGAAUGUUAAAAGCUCACAGUUGAUCUUCAUUAUUAAAUGACUUAUCACUCCUGUUAAAAUGAUCUCUCGUUGCACUUGUUAUUAAGGAAUGGGUUUAGAAAUAGCAUUAAUAUGAGUGUGAGCACAUAUAUACUUACAUAUUUCAGACAAUCUCUUUCUUUUUACAGUCUCUCAGAGAAAGAAUUUAUCAUACGUGUGGUCCAAAUAAAGAAUACAUUAAAGUUUAGUAUCUUCAAAAAGAAGAUCCAUACCUAAAUGCUGCAACCAGCUCUACCUACAAGGUAUUCUAUAUUCGUGGGACCCUGAAGACUGCUACCACACAUCAUUUUGUUUCUCUCUAUUAGGAGCACAUUGCAGAAUGCCUAUAUUCCCCAACGUACGUUCAGGGGCCAUGGAGGGUACGCAACCUCAUUGUUAUAGAUGUCCCUUGCUUCUUCACACAGCAGGUUUCACUUUUAGUUUUGGGGACUGCAAAGCUAAGAUGCUGAUCACAAACAACCACAUGGCUGCUUCACUAUCUAAUAAGGUGGCUUUGAUGUUCUGAUUGAAGACUGUUUGAGCCUGCUGGUGCUGCAAGGAGAGCAGGAGAAGUAAAGGUCUUUGCUCCUCUCAUCUCGGGUCCUCCUGUCAGCAGCCUUUCUACCAUCCAAAGCUGGAGCCAGCAUCCUCGAAUGAGUGCUGUUGCCACUGCUUCAUUUCAUUCUAGGAUGAAACAGAAUGGCAGAGGAAUUUUCUCCUGCUGAUAAUCCUCUUUGUGAAACAGUGCUAUGCCAAGUGCUCAGGACGCUGUUUCUUCAUCAAAGUCCAGGUAGAGUAAUCUUCCUUUCCACAGAGCAGCUGCUGUAGUGCUUGACUUGCUUUGCCCAUCUCUCACCACUGCCACCAGAAAAACACAAAGAAGGAGGGAGAGGCAUUGACACUGACAUUUUCACGCCUGAAAAUACCUUGGAAGGUCAUUUCUAUGCAAUUUUUUGACUGCAGAGAAGUAAAAGCAAGGCCAAAAUCUUUAGUUUCUGAAGUCAAG
ensembl:lncRNA